GGGCCCGCACAAGCAGUGGAGUAUGUGGUUUAAUUCGAAGCAACGCGAAGAACCUUACCAGGUCUUGACAUCCCUUGAAUAGCAUAGAAAUAUGUUAGUCCUUCGGGACAAGGAGACAGGUGGUGCAUGGUUGUCGUCAGCUCGUGUCGUGAGAUGUUGGGUUAAGUCCCGCAACGAGCGCAACCCUUGCUGCCAGUUGCCAGCAUGUAAUGAUGGGCACUCUGGCGGGACUGCCGGUGAUAAAUCGGAGGAAGGUGGGGAUGACGUCAAAUCAUCAUGCCCUUUAUGAUCUGGGCUACACACGUACUACAAUGGCCGUUACAAAGGGAAGCAAAAUGGUAACAUGGAGCAAAUCCCCAAAAGCGGUCCCAGUUCAGAUUGUGGGCUGAAACCCGCCCACAUGAAGUCGGAAUUGCUAGUAAUUGCAGGUCAGCAUACUGCAGUGAAUACGUUCCCGGGCCUU
rnacentral:rRNA from 1 species